CCCAACCCCUAGAAAGAUAUUCAUCAUUCACAAUUUGAUUUAUAUUUAGAAAUUUCAAGUGCUUUUAAAAUAAGUGUUACACCCUCAGAGGCAGUUAGGCAGUUACAGGAAAUUCCCCGCCUAAAAGUUGCAGUUGCUGCUUUGAAAGAAGCAUUAAAACUCAAAUUACUGUCACAAAACCUCUAAAUUUCUCUGACAAUGGUCAUUCAACAUCAACUUGUGAUUUAUGGCUUCCUACUAGUCCUUUUCGCCUUCAGUCCAAUUCUUGGUGACCCAAAUGAUGAAUCGAAGCCGGCGUUCGUGUUCAGUUGGUUGGAAAACAAGGAUACGUACAUUGCAGGCGAUACCAUAACCAUGAACAUCAAAAUACUUGGGAAUUUUGAUCCCCAUUCUUAUAAUGUAUCAUUCAACCCUACAGUUUCCGUGAAUGAAAAGGCGGGAAACAGCACUUAUAUAUCUAGCUUAUAUUACAAUUUUGGAGAUGAUCUUAACUCUUGGAGUAUUUGUUUUGUUCCUAUUCUUGCUGGGGUGUUUAAUGUCCUCGUCACAGAUGAUCAUUUUGGAGUUCUUGAUUCUUCGCUUCAUUUCUUUGUUAACCCAGGUAUAAUGCACCCAGCUGUCUCUAUUGUAUCAUGGAUGGACUACGUGGAUGAAUUUGAAGCCGGAACAAGGGCUAUGGUUCUGAUACUUCCUAAAGAUGCCUAUGGAAACACCAUUCCUUCAACAAAUGCAGACCUGAAUUCAUAUAUCUUUAACCUUUCUGAAUCCUUUGCAAAUAAUUCUGCUGUCAAUGUCCUCAGUGUAACUUGUCUGGGUUGGAAUAAUCAUGGUUAUCUUAAGAUUGAGUUUAUUGCUUCAUCAGCAGGAGAUCUUUUGCUACAAGUACAAAGGCAUAAUCAAACUUUGCGAGGAUCUCCCCUUCCCUUCAAGGUGCACUCAGGUCCAAUUGAUGUUUCCAAGUGUACAGCAAAGUGGAAAUAUGGCACAAACAUAUCACAGUAUCAAUCUGAAAUGGAAAUAUUCAUUUACCAGCUUGAUCAAUAUGGAAAUCUAGUUCCUGGAUUUUAUCCAUUUGAUGCAGAGAUUUUCGACAAGACCACCAAACUGUCUAUACCUGUACCAGAUCUCAACUUCAGAAUAUUCUCCCCAGGAAUCCAAUUACUUUCAUUCAGAGCAUUGGAACCGGGAAACUUCCUACUCACAGUUUAUGAUGCAAAGCAUAACACCAGCAUCUCCAAUAUGCCUUAUGAAUUUAUUGUUUCAAUUGGUAGCUGCGAUGGGUUCAAUAGCAUCGUCAAUGGAUCUGGUUUGAAUCAUUCAGUUGCUGGACAAGAAGCAAGAUUUUCAGUUUAUCUGAAAGAUGCUUAUCAGUAUCCCUGUCCAAUAGAGAUUAGAAUGCUUCAAGUUCAAGUUGCAUGUGUAGAAGAAUCAUAUAUGGUAUUGCCUACAAUUUAUCCUCUAGAGGAAUCAAAUGGUAUGGCUAAUGCUAUGAGUCCUUCUGAAGUUUCUCCUAGUCCAUCCGUUGAACACAAUCAUAGUACUAUAGGUAAUAAGGAAAUUGUGGCACAUACAUAUGGUGUACUAUAUACGCCUGAAAAGAGUGGACAGUACGACAUUCUCAUACUGUGUGGAAAUAUUCCAUUGAAUGGCGGUCAGUUGUGGAAAGAGAAAGUGAUAGCAGGUGAGGUUAAUAUAUCAUUGUCAGGAGUAGUGAAAUAUGCACCGAAAGUACAGAAGCUAGUGAGGAAUGAGGUGAUCAUUCAGCUUAUGGAUUCCUUUUCCAACCCAGUUUUGUCCCAGCAAUCAAAGCUAAAACUGGAGAUAGGUUCCAUAAACCACUCGGAUUUUAUAACCUGGAUGUUCCUGGACAAUAACAAUGGGUUGUAUACAGGCCAAUAUCAGGCUAAUGAUACUGGCACCUAUGAACUAUGUGCAACAUUUGAUGGCAAUAAGUUCUUACCUUGUCCUUUUGGGAUCAAUGUAUACAGCAGUGAAUAUUUUCCUAAAGCUCAUGAUGACUCAGUCUAUGUAUGGGAGGAUGAAUCAGUUGCUUUCAAUCCCCUUGAAAAUGAUUACUUUGCUGGUGAAAAUGCUACAAUCGUUGAAUUUUCUAAUCCACAUUCUGGUUCAGUGUUGCAGAGUGGUCUGCUUUUUAGAUAUACACCGUACAAAGGAUUUUAUGGAAAUGACUCUUUCUCAUAUACUAUACAUGACCUGAAUGGAAAUACUGCUACUGCAUCAGUAAACAUUUCUGUACUUAGCAUCCCACCUCAGCUCUUAUCUUUGUCUACAUCAUGGAAGGGAAGUGAAGACGUUUUGUGUCCUAAAUUUGGUGGAUUUCAUGGUAUUGAGGUUAUAUAUCCUGAUUCAGUGGAGAAUAUCUCUGUAUCUUUAAGUGCAAUCUCUGGAACAAUAUCCCUUUCCUCAAUGAUGAUGCAAUUUUGGGAACCAAUAUGGAGUGGAUUUGUUGUGACUAAGGAUGGUGAAGAAGCUAAGGCAUUGACUUUAUCAGGCUACGUGGAUGUAAUAAACAUGGCCCUUCAGUCAAUUCAGUAUCUCGGGGAUGAAGACUUUUAUGGCGAUGACACAAUCAUAGUCUCUGCAAGAAACAAAAAUGGAGUUACUGAUUUGAAUAUCACAAUUUCUGUUGAACCUGUCAAUGAUCCUCCUUUUAUCAUAACCCCUGAACACAUCAUUCUGUAUGAGAAUGAAGAUAGUGGAUCAUUGAUAUAUGAGAUGGGAAGGAAUAAAUUUGAGUUCUUAAUUGGAGAUCCAGAUCUGCCUCACUUUCAAGGGAACAAGUCUGACUUUAUGGUUAUAUUUUCCAUGGAAGUAACUUCUGGAAUUUUAGAAGCCAUCCUUCCAGUACAACUUAUCAGUACCACUGAACUCAAGCUUAAAAAUAGUUACCAGUGGCAGCCGCUUCAGACUUUUGUCACCAUUUCAGAUCACUUGGUGGUCAAGGCUAGAGGUUUGAGAUUUCAGGCAACAGUUGAUGAUUGUAAUAACAUAGUCAGGCAAUUAAAAUACCAUGCUAUUGAAUAUGUUGCAAUAUUAAAAAUGGUGAUGAAUGACAUGGGAAACUACGGAUGUUUUCCUAAUUGUGCAGAAAAUAUAUCAAAGUUUCUUCUUACAGAGGUUAAUGUCAAUCUUAUCAAGAGAAGGCCACUGAAUUCUAAGGCAACACACGCUCUUGGAUUCAUGAUCAUUUUGGAAUUUAUUGGGGUGCUUUCCCUUGGAGGAUUAUUGCUAUUUUACACAUGUCGAUGUGGAAUUUGUCUAAUAAAUGAGUGACGAGGCCAUAAGACCAAGAAAGAUGACAGAGUUUGCAUUCAAACAUCUAGUAAAGGAAUGGAAAAGAAAACAGAAAAUGAGACCAAUGCUGCUGGAAAUUGUCCCUGUCUACUCUUGUCAAGAGCUAGGCCAUUAAAUUUUCGCCAAAGAUCACGGUACCAAAGUAUUCAUGGAGCUUUAACGGAAGAUAGUAACAAGAGUUGGCCAAAUCGCACAAAAGAAUUCCAGUCACUUUCUAUUGAGAAAAGUACAAGUUUAAAGGUGUAAUUGCCAACAAUAUUAGGAGGGGGGGAAAUGUGUAGGAACACAUGGAUAUGAGUGUUGUAGUAGUUGUUUGUUAGUAGUGAAAUUAUAUAGGAUUACAAUGAGUUGUAUCUUUUUCUUUAGGAUAUUAUACUCCUAAUUACUCACUGAUAGAAUAUGUAUUUAUUUAUUUAGUAAAUAUCAUGUUUAAAUUAGUUUCUAA